AAAGUCGUAACAAGGUAACCGUAGGUGAACCUGCGGUUGGAUCAUUAAAAAUCCAAGAGCUUUGGCCUUCGGGUGCAUUGCUCUAACUUGGCCUUCGGGUCAUUAACACCAUGUGAACCAAGGGUGUUGCUGGAAGCUUCGGCCAAGGCAGUGCCCUUAAACUUGUUUUAUUUUUGUCUUAUUUUAAAGAGUAAUCUUUUACAACUUUAGGCAAUGGAUCUCUUGGCUCUCC
rnacentral:misc_RNA from 1 species